rnacentral:rRNA from 1 species
CCUACGGGUGGCUGCAGUGGGGGAUAUUGCACAAUGGGGGCAACCCUGAUGCAGCGACGCCGCGUGUGGGAAGACGGUCCUCUGGAUUGUAAACCACUGUCCCCAGGGACGAAGAUGACGGUACCUGGGGAGGAAGCGCCGGCUAACUACGUGCCAGCAGCCGCGGUAAUACGUAGGGAGCGAGCGUUGUCCGGAAUUACGGGGUGUAAAGGGAGCGUAGGCGGGGAUGCAAGUUGGUGGUAAAAACUACCGGCUCAACUGGUAGUCGCACUCAAAACUGCAGCUCUUGAGUGAAGUAGAGGCAGGCGGAAUUCCUAGUGUAGCGGUGAAAUGCGUAGAUAUUAGGAGGAACACCAGUGGCGAAGGCGGCCUGCUGGGCUUUUACUGACGCUGAGGCUCGAAAGUGUGGGGAGCAAACAGGAUUAGAUACCCCUGUAGUC